UUUGACCUCAGCUCAGUCGUGAUUACCCGCUGAAUUUAAGCAUAUAAUUAAGCGGAGGAAAA
rnacentral:rRNA from 1 species